GCAAAUUUUUAAUUACACACCUAUACAUAUAUAUAUUUUUAUAUAUAUACACAUUUGUAUACAUUUACAUGCAUUUACCUAUAUUACAGUAAACUACCCAACAGUUGAAUUUCAAGUGUGUACAUAUUAAUGAAAAAUAAAAAAAAUGUUUAAAUGUGUUGUAUGUAUUAAUUAAUUUCAAAUAUAUUUAAAAAAAAAAAAAUAAAAUAAUGUCCUUAUUAAUUUUCAUUUUUAAACAUUUAUUUUUUACAUUUCUAGUGUAAUAAAAUAUUCCCCAUAUAUAAAAAAAUGGUUUGAAUCAGAAAAUGUAAUCAUUUAUGCUUUCUACAUAUUAUAUAUAAAUAUUUAGAACUACAAUAUUUGAUAAUAUUUUAAAUAAAAAAUUAAAUAAAAUUAAAAUAUGUCAUGAAACACUUUUUUUUUUUUUUUUUUUUUUUUUAUUUUUUUACCUUUCCUUUUUUUUACAUCUCUUCCUUUCAACAGUGUGUAUAUUUAUAUAUGUUGCGGUAAUCAUAUAUAUACAUGAAAAGUCGCACAUACAUACGAGUUUAAAUUAUACACAAUACCAAUUUUAAAUAAUCAUAUAUAUACGUAUGUAUAUAUAUAUAUAUAUAUAUAUAUAUAUAUAUUUAUGUGUAUAUAUAUAUUUAUGUGUAUAUAUAUAUUUAUGUGUAUCGUUUGUUUAUGAAUAUGAAUUUAAGUUGUUUCGUUAAUUUAUUAUUUUUUAAAUGCAAUAGCAAAGGUAAAAACUACAAAUAUGUAAGAAAUCGAAAAAGGUUUCGCACAAUAACAUGGACAUAUACAAAAACAAUAGGACCAUUUGCUUCAUUUAUAUAUUUAUUUAAUCAGAGCAUAGGAUCAGGCCUAUUUUCGAUCCCGAGUUUAAUAGACGAAGUAGGAUGGAUACCAGUAAUUUUUGGAAACAUCUUUAUUUGCUCGGUUGCUGCUUUUUGCAGUUUAAUGAUUUUAAGAGCCAUGACAAUGAUACCAAAAAAUAAAAAUUUUGAACAAAGAAUUGAGUAUAGUGCAGUUAUAAAAUAUUUUAUGUCAGAUGAGAAAUAUAGAUUUGUUUCUUUUUUAUAUCAUUUAGGAAAUAUAUGUAACAACAUAUGUGGAAUACUUAUUAUAUCUAAGAUAAUUGAUAUAUUUAUUAUAAAAUUAUUUCGGUAUACAAUAUUAUUUCAAAUAUAUCCAGAAAU
rnacentral:lncRNA from 1 species